CCCCUGACUCUGGGAUAAGCGCUGGAAACGGCGUCUAAUACUGGAUAUGUGACGUGACCGCAUGGUCUGCGUCUGGAAAGAAUUUCGGUUGGGGAUGGGCUCGCGGCCUAUCAGCUUGUUGGUGAGGUAAUGGCUCACCAAGGCGUCGACGGGUAGCCGGCCUGAGAGGGUGACCGGCCACACUGGGACUGAGACACGGCCCAGACUCCUACGGGAGGCAGCAGUGGGGAAUAUUGCACAAUGGGCGCAAGCCUGAUGCAGCAACGCCGCGUGAGGGACGACGGCCUUCGGGUUGUAAACCUCUUUUAGCAGGGAAGAAGCGAAAGUGACGGUACCUGCAGAAAAAGCGCCGGCUAACUACGUGCCAGCAGCCGCGGUAAUACGUAGGGCGCAAGCGUUAUCCGGAAUUAUUGGGCGUAAAGAGCUCGUAGGCGGUUUGUCGCGUCUGCUGUGAAAUCCGGAGGCUCAACCUCCGGCCUGCAGUGGGUACGGGCAGACUAGAGUGCGGUAGGGGAGAUUGGAAUUCCUGGUGUAGCGGUGGAAUGCGCAGAUAUCAGGAGGAACACCGAUGGCGAAGGCAGAUCUCUGGGCCGUAACUGACGCUGAGGAGCGAAAGGGUGGGGAGCAAACAGGCUUAGAUACCCUGGUAGUCCACCCCGUAAACGUUGGGAACUAGUUGUGGGGUCCAUUCCACGGAUUCCGUGACGCAGCUAACGCAUUAAGUUCCCCGCCUGG
rnacentral:rRNA from 1 species